rnacentral:lncRNA from 1 species
AAGAAUUUUGAUGAUUUUGGUUUUCAAGAAAAUGACAUUAAAUACAAUAUUAUUUAUCAUAAAUAUUUUGUAUAUUAUUUUCUUUUGAAUAGUGUUAUACUAGUAUACAAAUUUGUAAUUUUUUUUUUUUUUUUUCUGGUACCAGGAAUCAAACUCACGACCUCGCGCUUGCCAGGCAGGCGCUGUGCCGCUAAGCUAAAUUCCCAGCCCCUAUUUCUUUUUUUUUCUUUUUGACACAUUUGUUAUUAUAACUUGUGAGUUUUAAGAACUAGUAUGAGUAGGUUUUUCCUUUCAUCACACAUUUUAAGAGUUUAUGGUAUCUUCAAGUACCUUAGCUCUUCCUCCCCCUCAAAAGCCAUGGGUUUAUAAAUGAGAUAUCAGUUCUGAUAUCUCAAAGAUUUUGGGUGAUUUCCGUAUACGUUUUAUAUAUCUCACAUAAUGCAGGUUACCUGAGUUGGCGAAGGUAACAUUAUUGAGUCAUCAAGUUAUAAAGAAAGCGAGUAAUAAUCAUCUUUUCUUCAUGGUGCUGACUGGCUCACCUUAAAGAAGCAGUUGAAUACUGUAUUCCUGGGGGUUAAAAAAAAGUUCCCAUAGUCUAAAACCCCGUUCAACUUUUCUCCACAAACUAUAACCAGCCUGAUUUUCUUUGGCUUCAGAACUUUAAAAGAUUUUUACUUUAUUAAAAGUUACUGUAUACAGAAUUUUAAAAAGCUCUCUCCCUUUUUAGAUCUAGGAUAAAGAAAACUGUGGAAAGUGAAGUGUGAUAAAACAAACCGAACCGGUUCAGCAGACCAGGAAGCGCAGGGCACAAUCGGGGUCUAGUGGGGAGCGGGGGUGGGGUUGGGGGAAUGGGUGGGUGGGAGCUUCCGCUGCGCAUGCGCCCUCCCCACCCGCGGGCACUGCGCGCAUGCGCCCUGCCCACCCGCAGGCGUGUCCUUGGCGGUCUAGUGAGCGGGCUAUGGAGUUUAUGCCGGGUUUCGCCUGGCAGGGGCAGAUGGCCCGCGCGGAGUAGCACAGACAACCAAGUCGUCCGCACCAGAGUCGACUGGAAGAUCCUGAGCCGAGGGACUGCGGGCUCCGGCAGAGCUGAAGCGUCGCAGCACCGCAGGACUGAGGGCGAUGAGGGAAAUCGCUGCAUUUCAAAGCAAGCUUCCAACCCCGCUUCCCUUGCUAGGCUUAGAGGCUGACGUCUAGGGCAACUCCCGCCACGGCUGGGACUGGAAUGAGUUUCUUCCUUGGGAAAUGAGCGGAGCGGGAGGAACCCUGGAGAUGAGGCGGGUUCUGGGGAAGCUGGCUUUGGGGAAUAGCUGGGCCCCUCCAGCUCUGCAAUAAAGUGUACGGCUCAGGACUACGCUUCCACACACUGAUCUGGUUAGGUUUUACAGCCCCUGCUUAAAUAUAAACAAAUAGGUAAGAAUCAACAGACAUCAGAGCAAAAUCAGCACGGAAAAUUAGAAGUAAAACAAAAUAACUCGGAGGAAACCAAGACAACAGAAUUCCCAGCUUUCAUGAAGAAAUAAGAUUUUUUUUAAAGGCUAAAUUUAGAGGACUUAAAUGUCUCUUGAAAAUAAAAAUUUUAGGCUGGGCUUGGUGGCAUGCGCUUGUAAUCCCAGCACUGGGGAGGCUGAGGCAGGAGGAUUGCUUUGAGUUAGAGGCCAGCCUGGGCUACAGAGUGAGUUGAAUUGAAUUGUAUAGUGAGACCCUGUCUCAAAAAGACAAAAAUAAAUAAGUAAAUAAAAAUUUAAAAAAAAAUUUUAAACUGGGUGUGGUAGCACAUGCCUGUAAUUGCUGAGAUAGGAGAAUCACUGAGUUUCAGGCCAGCCAGCGCUAAGAGAACCUGUCUCAAAACAAACAAGCGGAGCAUGGUGGCACACACCUGUCAUCCCAGCACAGGGGAGGCUGAGGCAGGAGGAUCAGGCGAGUUUGAGCCCAGUCUGGCCUAAGGCCAGCCUGAACUGUGUAGUGAGACCCUGUCUCAAAUACAAACAAAACCCAUACACACAAAAAACAAACAACAAGCAAAAGAAAAAAAUAUUGGUAGAAGUAAAAAACCAAUAGAAAUUUUAAAAAUAAAAAGAUGUCACAUAAUUAUUGUUCAACCUUUUUGGGUUUUUAGUUUCUUACCUAUAAAAUGGGGAUAACAACAGCAACUAACAGUGCUGCCGUGUUAAAUGAUUUAGUACACAUGAUGUGCAUAUAGUUACUGAUGCUAUUUUUUCAUUUGCCAUUUUGCUACUUGCAGCAAAGAAAAUGUGAGUGAAGGAUUUCAAUUCUGCGAAGUUGAUGUUCCAGUCUAAGGGCUAUAGACAAAUUUUAUGAGCAUUUAAGAACCUGGGGAGUACUGCUGUCACAAAUUCUUUUAAGGUAUACUAGAAAGCUAGCUUCAGAUCAUCAAAAUGGCUAAAGAAAACAAGAUCAUAAAGACUGGUGACUCUGGUCAUCAGUAGCUCUAGCGUCGCAAAAGAGAGCACAUCAUACAUUAUGUCCUUCUGAAUGCAAGAGCAUGUCACUGUGCAAGAGCAGGAGUCUGGCAAACUGAACGCUGAGGUGGUGGACGUGGUGCAGAAGAAGCUAAGGUUAUGCACACGCUGUGCAAGCAGAGGUGAUGUUCGGCUCCGAUGGACGGAGUUCUCGUGUCUUUCUGAGCUCUGGAUUUAUU